GAGUGAACGAGAUCUUUGGUUUUGCCUUUGCUGACUGCUGAUCUGAUCGUCUCAAGUCUGGUGACCUGCUGCAGAAUACCCUCUCCUCUAUCAUUAACAAGCAAUUCAGUCUGUCCUAUCACUCUCCCUCUCCCUGCUCCAUCUUUUUGACAAGCCAUUCUAUCUUCUAUCAUUUCUCCGCCAUGAGCUCUAUCUAAGUUGACAAGCUUGAACCUGAGUUGAAACGCAA